AAGGAACUUUACGGAGGGAAAACACAAUGACUGAGUGGCGGACGGGUGAGUAACGCGUAGGGAACCUGGCCCUUACAGGGGGAUAACAGAUGGAAACAACUGCUAAUACCGCAUAAGCGCCCAGCCUCGCAUGAGGCAGAGUGAAAAACUAAGGUGGUAAGGGAUGGCCCUGCGUCCGAUUAGCUAGUUGGUAUGGUAACGGCAUACCAAGGCGACGAUCGGUAGCCGGCCUGAGAGGGUGGACGGCCACAUUGGGACUGAGACACGGCCCAAACUCCUACGGGAGGCAGCAGUGGGGGAUAUUGCACAAUGGGGGAAACCCUGAUGCAGCGACACCGCGUGGGUGAAGAAGCGCUUCGGCGUGUAAAGCCCUAUCAGUGGGGAAGAAAAAGGACGGUACCCAAAGAAGAAGCACCGGCUAAAUACGUGCCAGCAGCCGCGGUAAUACGUAUGGUGCAAGCGUUAUCCGGAAUGACUGGGUGUAAAGGGAGCGUAGACGGUUGUACAAGUCUGAUGUGAAAGCCCACGGCUCAACUGUGGGAGUGCAUUGGAAACUGUAGAACUAGAGUAUCGGAGAGGCAAGUGGAAUUCCUAGUGUAGCGGUGAAAUGCGUAGAUAUUAGGAGGAACACCAGUGGCGAAGGCGGCUUGCUGGACGAAAACUGACGUUGAGGCUCGAAAGCGUGGGGAGCAAACAGGAUUAGAUACCCUGGUAGUCCACGCUGUAAACGAUGAAUACUAGGUGUUGGGGCCCGAAGGGCGUCGGUGCCGUCGCAAACGCAGUAAGUAUUCCACCUGGGGAGUACGUUCGCAAGAAUGAAACUCAAAGGAAUUGA
rnacentral:rRNA from 1 species